GUUAUUUUAAAAAAAAAAUCUUUUCGGGGAUUAAGAUCCAACACAAAAACAUUAAAAAAGAAAAAAAAUAUGAUUUUUAAAAUAGAUGGAAAAAAACAAGGGGGUAAGAGUUGCAAUUAAAUUUAUAUUUUUUUAUAUUUGAUAAUUACUUCGAAAAUUAUUUUUAAAAAAAUAAACAUGAAUGUGUCCCAAAAAAAUAUUUAACAAUGACUCAUACAUGUAAAAGACCUUAUUUGAACAUGAUUUUUUUCAUUCCAAG
rnacentral:lncRNA from 1 species